UACAGAGGGGGCAAGCGUUAUUCGGAAUUAUUGGGCGUAAAGGGCGCGUAGGCGGCUUGGCAAGUGGAAGGUGAAAUCCCUCGGCUUAACCGAGGAACUGCCCUCCAGACUGCUUUGCUUGAGGCCGGGAGAGGUGAGUGGAAUUCCCAGUGUAGCGGUGAAAUGCGUUGAUAUCCUAAGGAACACCCGUGGCGAAAGCGGCUCACUGGGUCUCUUCUGACGCUGAGGCACGAAAGCUAGGGUAGCGAACGGG
rnacentral:rRNA from 1 species